rnacentral:tRNA from 1 species
GGCUCCGUAGCUCAACUGGAUAGAGUAUCUGGCUUCGGACCAGAGGGUUGGGGGUUCGAAUCCCUCCGGGGUCACAA